rnacentral:ncRNA from 1 species
CAGCGGUUCUGCGGGAGCCCCACCGGGGGCUGAGAGGGCGUCCAGCGCCGACCGCCACACCUGAUGCGGGUCAUGCCGCCGGAGGAAAGGACGUUCCCUGUGAC